GGGGAUUGUCCCUGUAAUAAGUGCACUGUAUAAUACAUUGGUACUCAGAAGGUUGCUGGUUUGAUCCCCACAGUCACCACCAUUGUGUCCUUGAGUAAGACACUUAACUCCAGGUUGCUCCGGGGGGAUUGUCCCUGUAAUAAGUGCACUGUAUAAUACAUUGGUACUCAGAAGGUUGCUGGUUUGAUCCCCACAGUCACCACCAUUGUGUCCUUGAGUAAGACACUUAACUCCAGGUUGCUCCGGGGGGAUUGUCCCUGUAAUAAGUGCACUGUAUAAUACAUUGGUACUCAGAAGGUUGCUGGUUUGAUCCCCACAGUCACCACCAUUGUGUUCUUGAGCAAGGCACUUAACUCCAGGUUGCUCCGGGGAGAUUGUCCCUGUAAUAAGUGCACUGUAUAAUACAUUGGUACUCAGAAGGUUGCUGGUUUGAUCCCCACAGUCACCACCAUUGUGUCCUUGAGUAAGACACUUAACUCCAGGUUGCUCCGGGGGGAUUGUCCCUGUAAUAAGUGCUCUGUAUAAUACAUUGGUACUCAGAAGGUUGCUGGUUUGAUCCCCACAGUCACCACCAUUGUGUCCUUGAGUAAGACACUUAACUCCAGGUUGCUCCGGGGGGAUUGUCCCUGUAAUAAGUGCUCUGUAUAAUACAUUGGUACUCAGAAGGUUGCUGGUUUGAUCCCCACAGUCACCACCAUUGUGUUCUUGA